GCCUGGUUGGCUCAGUUGGUAAAGCAUGAGACUCUUAAUCUGGGGGUUGUGAGUUUAAGCCCCAUGCUGGGUA
rnacentral:tRNA from 1 species